rnacentral:rRNA from 1 species
GGAGGGUGCAAGCGUUAUCCGGAUUCACUGGGUUUAAAGGGUGCGUAGGUGGGUAUGUAAGUCAGUGGUGAAAUCUCCAAGCUUAACUUGGAAACUGCCGUUGAUACUAUAUAUCUUGAAUGCUGUGGAGGUGAGCGGAAUAUGUCAUGUAGCGGUGAAAUGCUUAGAUAUGACAUAGAACACCAAUUGCGAAGGCAGCUCACUACCCAGAUAUUGACACUGAGGCACGAAAGCGUGGGGAUCAAACAGGAUUAGAUACCCUGGUAGUCCACGCCCUAAACUAUGGAUACUCGACAUACGCGAUACACUGUGUGUGUCUGAGCGAAAGCAUUAAGUAUCCCACCUGGGAAGUACGACCGCAAGGUUGAA